rnacentral:rRNA from 1 species
CGGACGGGUGAGUAACGCGUGGGUAACCUGCCUCAUACAGGGGGAUAACAGUUAGAAAUGACUGCUAAUACCGCAUAAGCACACAGUACCGCAUGGUACAGUGUGAAAAACUCCGGUGGUAUGAGAUGGACCCGCGCCUGAUUAGCUGGUUGGCGGGGUAACGGCCCACCAAGGCGACGAUCAGUAGCCGACCUGAGAGGGUGACCGGCCACAUUGGGACUGAGACACGGCCCAA